CUUCUCCAGCUUGUGGAACCUGCCGCAGGGUGGAGAGUGAGAUGGGCGGCAACAUCCUUUCAUCUUUACCCGGCACCCUGCACCCUGCACCCUGCACCCAGCACCCUGCACCCUGGGGGACUUUGCCAAGGAUGGGGAAGAGGGAGGCAGUCCCUCCUUGUGUACUUCAGCAGAUAAAGUCUUUCCCAGGGGCUAUUCUAGUAUCAGGUUGCAACACUCCCCUCCGGAGACCUCCCCACGAAGACCUCUGGUGGGGAGAUCUUUGCAUGAAGCUUCUCUUGGAUGCACCUGGCAGGAUGUACCUGCCCUGGUCACACCUGCCCUGGAGGCUUCUGAACCAUCCCUAGAUGAUCAACACCGUGCAGAAGAAAUAGAAUGCAAGCCCCAGUUGUAAUGCUGAAUAUUCCAGCAAGCACAUUUUGGAAAUGGAAGAAUUAGAUUAUUUAAUCUAAUAUAUUAAAACUACUACCAUUUCAACAUGCGAUUAAUAUUUUGAAAA